GGGAUAGCUCAGUUGGUAGAGCAGAGGACUGAAA
rnacentral:tRNA from 1 species